rnacentral:rRNA from 1 species
GCAUAUCAAAAAGCGGAGGAAAAGAAACCAACAGGGAUUGCCCCAGUAACGGCGAGUGAAGCGGCAACAGCUCAAAUUUGAAAUCUGGCCUCGGCCCGAGGUUGUAAUUUGCAGAGGAUGCUUUUGGGUGCGGUGCCUUCUGAGUUCCCUGGAACGGGACGCCGGAGAGGGUGAGAGCCCCGUACAGUUGGACACCAAGCCCUUGUAAAGCUCCUUCGACGAGUCGAGUAGUUUGGGAAUGCUGCUCUAAAUGGGAGGUAUAUCUCUUCUAAAGCUAAAUAUAGGCCAGAGACCGAUAGCGCACAAGUAGAGUGAUCGAAAGAUGAAAAGCACUUUGAAAAGAGGGUUAAAAAGUACGUGAAAUUGUUGCAAGGGAACGGCUUGUGACCAGACUUGCGCCGGGCUGAUCAUCCGCGGUUCUCCGCGGUGCACUCGGCCCGGCGCAGGCCAGCGUCGGUUCUAGCAGGGGGACAAAAGCUUGGGGAACGUGGCUCCUCCGUGGAGUGUUAUAGCCCCUCGCCGAAUGCCCCUGCCGGGACCGAGGUCUGCGCUCCGGCAAGGACGCUGGCGUAAUGGUCACCAGCCA